GACCCUAGGUCAGGCAGGGCCACCCGCCAAGCUUAAGCAUAUCAUAAGCAGAUGAGAAGAAACUUACGAGGAUUCCCCUAGAAACGGUGAGCAAAUCGAGACC
rnacentral:rRNA from 1 species